rnacentral:rRNA from 1 species
GACGAACGCUGGCGGCGUGCCUAACACAUGCAAGUCGAGCGAUUCUCUUCGGAGAAGAGCGGCGGACGGGUGAGUAACGCGUGGGUAACCUGCCCUGUACACACGGAUAACAUACGGAAAGGUAUGCUAAUACGGGAUAACAUAAGAAAUUCGCAUGUUUUUCUUAUCAAAGCUCCGGCGGUACAGGAUGGACCCGCGUCUGAUUAGCUAGUUGGUGAGGUGACGGCUCACCAAGGCGACGAUCAGUAGCCGACCUGAGAGGGUGAUCGGCCACAUUGGAACUGAGACACGGUCCAAACUCCUACGGGAGGCAGCAGUGGGGAAUAUUGCACAAUGGGCGAAAGCCUGAUGCAGCAACGCCGCGUGAGCGAUGAAGGCCUUCGGGUCGUAAAGCUCUGUCCUCAAGGAAGAUAAUGACGGUACUUGAGGAGGAAGCCCCGGCUAACUACGUGCCAGCAGCCGCGGUAA